rnacentral:rRNA from 1 species
UACGUAGGCAGCAAGCGUUGUUCGGAAUUACUGGGCGUAAAGAGUGUGUAGGCGGUGCUCCAAGUCUGGUGUGAAAUCUCCCGGCUCAACUGGGAGGGUGCGCUAGAAACUGGAAUGCUAGAGGAUGGGAGAGGGAAGCGGAAUUCCUGGUGUAGCGGUGAAAUGCGUAGAUAUCAGGAGGAACACCUGUGGUGUAGACAGCUUACUGGACCAUUUCUGACGCUGAGACACGAAAGCGUGGGUAGCAAACAGG